GAGGGGGAAGAAUCACCUCCAAGCCACAUGGCAGCCUGCACCUUCAUCUGGCUUUGGCAGAAUCCCAGCAGUACGAUCUGAAUGGUUCCAUAAUUACAACCACAACACAUUUUUCAACCCCUACAGGCUGCUCGCUUUUCUGCACUGGUCACAAACAUCAUUUUGGAAGCCAUAAUGAAAACAUACUGCAAAAUGGGGAAAAUUAUAACAUAGGAGGUAAGAAGUUUGUAAGAACCAGAGGCAAAGCUGCUUCUUGCAGGAAUGUGAAAGGUGGGUUUUUUUGAAUGACUCCUUUAAAUCUAGGUGAAAUGGCUGUCAGCUCCCAGGUCACAUGCUCAACACAAACAUAAUUUCAUGUUAUAAAGUUAUAAUACCGGCCUCUUUUGGAGCCAGACGUAAUCAGCAAAAUGCAGCAUGAGGCUUAUCACACAACCUGACAGAUACUUGAAGCAUUGCUGUCUUGCGUUUUCAGAAUGGUCUCCUGGAGGCUUUUCUACAUAAAUAGAACCAACCUAACCAAAAAUGUAUUUUAAAAAUAAGUUUGAACCCUGCUUUUUCAUUAACUUGGUUUUUUUUAAUAAACAAUACUAAAAUCUGUGUGAAAAGGUAGGAAGAAAUUUUUGGUUUGAAAGUAUUUUAGGUUGUACUUCCCUUUGGUAAGGCUACCUCAAUUUUUUUACCAUUCAGGAUAAAGUCUAAGCACCCAUAGGUAUAUAGAAAGUUCUGACUGUCUUUACAGUUAUUAGAGGGUUGUCUGUGUGUAUAGUUAUUUUUACACAAUUUGCUAUUUCAAAAGAAGUUGCCUGUAAAUCCAGUUAGGUGGGGCAAACAAUUCUGUUGGUCUGUGGUGACUCAUUUAUGAGAGAAACAACUCAGAUUCUGUGAAAGACAUUGUUUUUUGGUAUGGACACUGAUUAUGUUUAAAUCAUGUUUGACAAGGACUUCUACGAGCACUCAGAAUCUCACCCUGUUGCCAGAUUCAGCACAAGGCAUCCUAUGAAUCCUUGUUGGCAAUUCUUUUCAGGCUACCUACAGAUCUCAUUUAUUCUGUGGCCUUGAUAUUGCUUAGGAUGACUAGGAUUACUUAGAAUGAGGAUGCAUUCUUGGUUGUGUUUUAUGCCUGAUGGUUUUCAUUGAUUUUAGUCUGUAAUUUGUGGCAGCCCAGCAGCUGCUUCAUCAGCUAGCCUCAUAAUGGAGGCAGAAAUGUCUGAACUAGGGGCACACAUCCAGCUGUGAACAGCAUCUUUCUUCUGUAGCCACCCCAAUGUAACCUGCUGGAACCAGAGCACCAAGAGAAACAAGAUAAAUGGCUAUUGUACUUUAAAUUCACACCUGGGUUGUUCGUUUUGUGACAGCUUCUUCAUGCAGAUGACAGGAAUGGACCCUGGCCAGUUUUCGUUUGCUGAAGGAAUGUUUUGCUCCUGGGGAGUGAAUGGGUCUGCCUCCAUUAGCAGUUAAGAGCACAACAUAAAUGUUUCUGUGAUGUGAAUUGCUCUUGCCUGUGAAUCGUUUACGUUUGAUGUUCUUUAAGUUUUAUCACUUAAAGCCUUUGGAAGACAGGACCUAGAUUUCUUCCUGUAGAAGCUUAGCUGGAAAUUGCAUACUAGGGAUUUUUCUAACACACCCCAAAGGUAAUAGGAACAUGUAAUCUUUGGGCUGUUGAGAAAGAAUACAGAGGCUGAUCCUGUUAUUAUUUUGAAUUGUACUCCAGCAUCAAUUCUUCCUUUAUCCUGAAUAAGAGAAAUACCAACACAAAGGUGAACUUUUAAAGCUCUUCAUUGCUGAGACUUCUAUAGAAGUGCUAGGAUUUCCUUUUUUUAAUCUGAGCAACUUGAUGAGACUUUUAAAACUGUAAAGAGAGGGACUUUCCAAAAUGCCUGUGUUGUUGGUAUGGUGUAAGAGCCUUCCAAAAGUGUUGGCUAAUCCUCAGUGAGUCAUGUUUUUCAUGGAAUUCUGUUUUAAAUAAAUUAUCUUGUACACUU